CGAUCGCAUCGGUACUAAUUGACAGCUGGAGCCUCGUUCAUCGCGCGUCCGUCAAAAGAAAAGUUGUCAGGGCUGGAAAAGACAGCCGCCAAAGCAGAAAUAAUUCGUCUCGAAGGUGCGAGCAUUACCAAGAUCUGCAAUUGCAUCAGCAAUUGGAAAUUCGCGACACUAAACAAUCUGAUCUUAGGUGCGGUACCGAAGAUAAUAGCCGAUACACAAAAGGCGAUUCUGCUGGUGGAACCAGCAGAGGCGUGGCGUGGUCAAUCCACGUGGGGAAAUAAUUCCGGACGGAUAAGGCAAGCGAUCGCGGGCGCCUUGGUGACAGGCUGCAGAUACGGGCCGGAAGCGAAUAGAUUGCAUGGUGAGUGAUGUCAUCUCAAGUUUCGUUUGGUGUAAUGCUGACCUUGAUCGUUUAGUGCAGGAAAGUUGCAUCUCAACGCACAAACUACAGUGCCACACUCGGACGCAUCGCGUACACACGCACACACGGAAAACCCCAUAUUGGGUGAGUAGGAGAUGUUGGUGACAGGCGCGAGCAUCAACUAAUUUGUUGCGCGACAGGGUUUUUUUUCUUGUGUGUGUUGCAGAUCACGAUUGUCGCACGACGCAACACCGGUGCAUCGGUGCAACAACACCUCUCGUCGCGAGAAUCAUUCCGAUCCAGGUCGAUGCAGCCAUAGUGGACUCUUUCUCGUGAUCGGCACACGAGAUCUAGGGAUUUUCCGGUCGGCCGCGCAUUCGAGGACGAGAGCAAGCGGGAAAGGAGUGCAGACCAAACGGAGCUGGAGGAUAACCGAUCCGCGAGUGAGGUAGAAGCCACCGUGCGACAGCCAGAGAGUGAACCCGUCGUUGCGAAUGUCCAUACACGAACGGCGGGCGUGAGAAGCGGCAGGCUGGUUCGGUGCGGAAGACCGGUUGGUGGUGAGAGGACCACGAUACUCCAGAACAGCGCGCGGAAGAAGGUAUCAGCGGCCACGGUGGAGAGAUGCAGAGGGUAUGAUGGCGGUCUGACUGGCAUAGGGGGAUCGUGAGUACUCAUGAUAGUCUAGCAUUAAGGUUACAACAUGUGUGUACAUUAAGUGCAAUAGUACAGGGCACGAAGAUAGGAGAAUGACCCAAAGGAGUGAUAGAUCAAUUGAUUGUCCGUAAAUAAACAAUGUAACGUAAACGGUAUUUGGUUUGUGUGCGCUAUUAUUUUGGC